rnacentral:rRNA from 1 species
GACGAACGCUGGCGGCGUGCUUAACACAUGCAAGUCGAACGGAAAGGCCCUGCUUUUGUGGGGUGCUCGAGUGGCGAACGGGUGAGUAACACGUGAGUAACCUGCCCUUGACUUUGGGAUAACUUCAGGAAACUGGGGCUAAUACCGGAUAGGAGCUCCUGCUGCAUGGUGGGGGUUGGAAAGUUUCGGCGGUUGGGGAUGGACUCGCGGCUUAUCAGCUUGUUGGUGGGGUAGUGGCUUACCAAGGCUUUGACGGGUAGCCGGCCUGAGAGGGUGACCGGCCACAUUGGGACUGAGAUACGGACCAGACUGCUACGGGAGGCAGCAGUGGGGAAUAUUGCACAAUGGGAGGAAGCCUGAUGCAGCAACGCCGCGUGCGGGAUGACGGCCUUCGGGUUGUAAACCGCUUUCGCCUGUGACGAAGCGUGAGUGACGGUAAUGGGUAAAGAAGCACCGGCUAACUACGUG